GCCAGUGUGGUGUAGUGGUUAGAGGGCCAGACUAGGACUGGGGAGACCAGGGUUCGAAUCCCUCCACUCGGCC